AAGCCCCAGUAAACGGCGGCCGUAACUAUAACGGUCCUAAGGUAGCGAAAUUCCUUGUCGGGUAAGUUCCGACCCGCACGAAAGGCGUAAUGAUUUGGGCACUGUCUCAACAAUGCACCCGGUGAAAUUGAAAUACCAGUGAAGAUGCUGGUUACCUGCGCCAGGACGGAAAGACCCCAUGGAGCUUUACUCCAGCUUGAUACUGGGAUUCGAUAUUGCAUGUACAGGAUAGGUGGGAGACUGAGAACUGAUGACGCCAGUUGUCAGGGAGUCACUGUUGGGAUACCACCCUUGUAGUAUUGGAUUUCUAACCAGCAGCCGUGAACCGGCUGGGGGACAAUGUCAGGUGGGGAGUUUGACUGGGGCGGUCGCCUCCGAAAGGGUAUCGGAGGCGCUCAAAGGUUCCCUCAGAAUGGUUGGAAACCAUUCGAAGAGUGCAAAGGCAGAAGGGAGCUUGACUGCGACACCGACGGGUGGAGCAGGUACGAAAGUAGGACUUAGUGAUCCGGUGGUAUAAAGUGGGAUUGCCAUCGCUCAACGGAUAAAAGCUACCCUGGGGAUAACAGGCUUAUCACUCCCAAGAGUUCACAUCGACGGAGUGGUUUGGCACCUCGAUGUCGGCUCAUCGCAUCCUGGGGCUGAAGUAGGUCCCAAGGGUUGGGCUGUUCGCCCAUUAAAGCGGUACGCGAGCUGGGUUCAGAACGUCGUGAGACAGUUCGGUCCCUAUCCGGCGUGGGCGUAGGAUAUUUGAGAGGAGCUGCCCUUAGUACGAGAGGACCGGGGUGGACUGGCCGCUGGUGGAUCUGUUGUAUUACCAAAUGCAUAGCAGAGUAGCCAAGCCGGGACGGGAUAAACGCUGAAGGCAUCUAAGCGUGAAGCCCCCCUCAAGAUGAGAUAUCCCAUAACGUCAAGUUAGUAAGACCCCUUGAAGACGACGAGGUAGAUAGGGCAGAGGUGGAAGUGCGGUAACGCAUGGAGCUGACUGUUACUAAUAGGUCGAGGGCAUAACCAA
rnacentral:rRNA from 1 species